rnacentral:rRNA from 1 species
UCGCUACUACCGAUUGGGAAAAUUUUAGAGAAUAAUGGACUAGGUCUUAUUAAGCUUCACGGCUUGAUUUGACUUGGGAAAUUUUUCUAUAAUAUUUUUCUAGAGGAAGUAA